rnacentral:rRNA from 1 species
GAUUCCCUCAGUAGCUGCGAGCGAACAGGGAAGAGCCCAGCACCGAAUCCCGCGGCCGGCAUCGGACGCCGGGAAAUGUGGUGUUCGGGAGGGUCGCCAAUCCCGAGGUCAUGCGACGCGUCCAAGUCCUUCUUGAACGGGGCCACAGCCCAUAGAGGGUGCCAGGCCCGUAGUGGCCGUCGCUGAUCGCGGGACGAUCUCUCCUUAGAGUCGGGUUGCUUGAGAGUGCAGCCCUAAGUGGGUGGUAAACUCCAUCUAAGGCUAAAUAUGACCACGAGACCGAUAGCGAACAAGUACCGUGAGGGAAAGUUGAAAAGCACUUUGAAGAGAGAGUUCAAGAGUACGUGAAACCGUUUAGGGGUAAACCUGAGAAACCCGAAAGGUCGAAGGGAGAAAUUCAUCGCGUUUCGACGUCGAGGGCUUGCGGUCGAACGACGGAAGACGUUUCGGCGUCUUCCGCGGCUUCCGCUCGUCCAGUCGGCGACGAACGCGUGCACUUUUCUCCUGGUAGGACGUCGCGAUCCGUCGGGUGUCGGUCUAAGGCUCGCGGUGGAGCCCGUCGACGUUUUCAGCGUCGACGGACCC